CCUGCUGUUGGCUUCCUUCUUUCCUUUCCUGUUUAAUUUCUUGCCUUACCUGGUGGAUUCAUUCUGUUGGGGUUCAUGGAGUUGCAAUUCUUGUUUUCUCUUUCUAAAAUAUUCUUCAGAACACUUUGGAGGGCUGAUUUGGUGGUCUUGAAUUUUUCAGGUGUUCUUUGUCAGGGCAGUAUCUUAUUUCUCUCUCAAUUUUGAAAAGUAGUUUUGCAGGGUACAUCAGUCUGGGUUGGAGGUUGUUUUCCUUUAGGGGUUGAAAUGCUUCAUCCCAAGCUCUCCUUGACUUGAAGUUGUGUUGAGAAGUUGGCUGUGAUUCCUCUAUAGACCUGGUGACCUUGUAGCUCCAGCAGCCGUCUUGUCCACUGCUUUGAUGACACCCACAGCAACUGUCUGUCUCAUAUCACGAACAGCGAAACGACCCAGAGGUGGAUAGAGAAGCUCUUCACACACCUGGGCUUGCCUGGAACCAUGCCAGCAAUGGCAGCAUCACCAGAUUUCAAGAAUUUGGGGCCAUCUUCCAGCUUCUUACCAGACCGGCGAUCCAUCUUUUCUUUUAGCUCAGCAAACUUGCAAGUGAUGUGAGCCGUGUAGCAAUCCAGUACAGGAGCACAGCCAGCACUGAUCUGGCCCGGAUGGCUCAGCAUAAUCACCUGAGCAGGGAAACCAGCUGCUGCCACAGCUGGGUCAUUUUUGCUGUCACCAGCAACGUUGCCACUGUGAACAUCUUUGACAGACACGUUCUUGACAUUGAAGCCCACAAUGUCACCAGGAAGAGCUUCACUCAAAGCCUCAUGGUGCAUUUCAACAGACUUUACUUCAGUUGUGACAUUGACUGGUGUGAAGGUGACCACCACGCCAGGUUUGAGGACACCAGUCUCCACUCGGCCCACAGGGAAGGUGAUCAGAGCAGACUCCUCAGAUUCCACACUCGCAGAGCAAAGGAUAAAUAUGGAGGCAAAGUUGCCGAUGAGACUAUGAGGAACUAGCCUGCAAGCUCAAACUUGACCAAGGGGUGAUGAAGAUGAGAAAUAAAGAGAUACAGAAACAAGUUAAAAUCUGGGGGGCCAGGGGCACUCUGUGUCCCUUGACAUAGAGCCCCAAAUGACUGGCGCACCCUGGCUUUAUUCACUCAGGCAUGGGCACAAGCCAUCAGAGUUUCACAGGAUUCAUCUGUCUCCCUCCUUCCACCGUAAUUCUCUGGAGAAAAAACUUAACCUCAGGUGUUUUUACUUUUCCCUGCAGCAUGUUGGCACACUUGCAUGCUCUCUUCUCAUUGUUCACCGAGGAGGCCAAUUGGGCCUCAUUCUUCCCAUCUGGUCUGCCAUAUCUCACUAGCAAUGAAUAAAAUUCAUGUUGCUCUACAUCCUCACAAGCAUUUUGAAUGACUGGUGAAUGAUCUUUUCUUCAAAAGGAAAAAAUAAAUACAUAAAGAGAUAUAAGAGAUAUAAAUAAAGAAACUACAUUGUUGCAUCACUGAUUGCAAGGAUUUAAGUCAGGACCCCAAAUUACAGGUGUGUCUGAGAUAGACCUGCGGUAGCACCCACCUCCAGU